rnacentral:rRNA from 1 species
AUUGAACGCUGGCGGCAUGCCUUACACAUGCAAGUCGAACGGCAGCACGGGAGCAAUCCUGGUGGCGAGUGGCGAACGGGUGAGUAAUAUAUCGGAACGUGCCCAGUAGUGGGGGAUAGCCCGGCGAAAGCCGGAUUAAUACCGCAUACGACCUGAGGGUGAAAGCGGGGGAUCGCAAGACCUCGCGCUAUUGGAGCGGCCGAUAUCAGAUUAGCUAGUUGGUGGGGUAAAGGCCUACCAAGGCUACGAUCUGUAGUUGGUCUGAGAGGACGACCAGCCACACUGGGACUGAGACACGGCCCAGACUCCUACGGGAGGCAGCAGUGGGGAAUUUUGGACAAUGGGCGCAAGCCUGAUCCAGCAAUGCCGCGUGCAGGAAGAAGGCCUCGGUUGUAACU